CAUGGUUGUCGUCAGCUCGUGUCGUGAGAUGUUGGGUUAAGUCCCGCAACGAGCGCAACCCUUAUUACUAGUUGCCAGCAUUCAGUUGGGCACUCUAGUGAGACUGCCGGUGACAAACCGGAGGAAGGUGGGGACGACGUCAAAUCAUCAUGCCCCUUAUGACCUGGGCUACACACGUGCUACAAUGGAUGGUACAACGAGUCGCGAAACCGCGAGGUUUAGCUAAUCUCUUAAAACCAUUCUCAGUUCGGACUGUAGGCUGCAACUCGCCUACACGAAGUCGGAAUCGCUAGUAAUCGCGGAUCAGCAUGCCGCGGUGAAUACGUUCCCGGGCCUUGUACACACCGCCCGUCACACCAUGAGAGUUUGUAACACCCAAAGCCGGUGGGGUAACCUUUUAGGAGCUAGCCGUCUAAGGUGGGACAGAUGAUUAGGGUGAAGUCGUAACAAGGUAGCCGUAGGAGAACCUGCGGCUGGAUCACCUCCUUUCUAAGGAAUAAUACGGAACCGCACACGAGUCAA
rnacentral:rRNA from 1 species